GAACACAAAAUGGCGACACGUGGUUAGCAUUCGUCGCCAACGAGAAAUUGGGGUCGGCCCGAAAGCUCUAGAAUGCACCCCUCUUCCUCCCCGGGGCCUUCCACCUCCGCGAGUUUUAUGACUUAAAAAAGCCCACAGGCUGGUCUGAAGGUCGGAGGCCUAAUUUUAACGCGUUUUCCUCCCUUUAAUUUGAAACGGGAACGCGAAUGACUGUAAAAUGUGGGCACAAUAUUUAAUCUCUCGCCUUUUUAAAGCUUAAUAGUGGAUAAUAGGGGGGCAGUAUCAAGGGAUAAUUUGGGUCCCCACAGUACCAAAGCAUUUAGAAACCUCUGUUUAAUUUAAGGAAUGAGAUAAGUUACUGCUUUUCUAGACUUCCUAGCAUGGGCUGUUGUGCUGGAGAGAACGAGAGCUACGAAGAGACUACAGUGCCUCUGACUUUUUCAUAGGACAGUUGGCCGAGGAAGACAAACAUAAAGAUGAAGUGCUUAAUUCAAGGUCACACAAUGUCGGGGAUGGACCUCCAGAUUUCCUUACUGACCUGCAUUAUCUUGUGGAUACCUGAGUGAAUUCCACACCACCCAUUUUAUAGAUGAAACCACUGAGACAUGGAGCAAUUGACUGAGUAGUCACUGCCCCACCCCUGCCUGGAGCCUCACACAUGACUCGCCUCCUCUCAGUGACCACAGGUUGGUUGAGGGGUUUAACAAGGCUAAGAAGGUGAGACGUGGUCUUGUAACACAGUGGUUAAGAAUGUGACUUUGGAGCCAGCCUGCUAGGGGCUGAAUUCUGACUCAGCCAUUUACUAACUGUGUGACCUUAGGGAGGAGGACCUGGUUGAUAGAAGAAUUUAUCUCGUAGUCUUAACAUCCACUGUAAUUCCAAACUUUGAGGACGAUAGAGAUCAGUGGGCUUUGACUGCCCAGCAUGCAGUCUCCAUUCUUAGAAAGUGACCUCAUUUCUUUUCCAGGUGGGUUCCCAAGCCUGUAAAAUGUAAGCCUUAUGCUGCUGAGGGCCAUCUUGCCACCCUGAGGGAAACGCUGCCUGA
rnacentral:lncRNA from 10 species